CCGUGCUAGACGGGGAGUUAGCGGUGCCCUGUAACCCGGAAUCCGCUAUACCGGGGUCGAAUUCCCACCUGAGGUUUUUUGUCUUCUGGUGGGAGGCUGG
rnacentral:SRP_RNA from 1 species